GGCCUAUUGAUAAUAAUUUUAGGUCGGACCUGCCCAAUGAUGAAGUUAAAUGGCUGCGGGAUUCAACCGUACAAAGGUAGCAUAAUCACUAGUUUUUUAAUUGAAAGCUCGUAUGAAAGGUUUGAUGAAAGAAUAACUGUCUCUGCUUAAAUUUAUUAGAAGUUUAUUUUUAAGUAAAAAAGCUUAAAUACUUAUAGAAGACGAGAAGACCCUAUAGAGUUUUAUAUUUUUAUUUUUAAAGUUUUAUUAGGAUAUAAAAAUUUUAUUAAUAAAAGUAUUUGGUUGGGGUGACUAAAAAAUUAAAUUAACUUUUUUUGUAUAAAAUCAUAAAUUUAUGAAUAAUUGAUCCUUAAAUAAAGAUUAAAAGAUAAAAUUACCUUAGGGAUAACAGCGUAAUUCUUUUGGAGAGUUCUAAUCGAAAAAAGAGAUUGCGACCUCGAUGUUGGAUUAAAAGAAAUUAUUGGUGUAGAAGCUAAUAAAUUAGGUCUGUUCGACCUUUAAUAUUUUACAUGAUCUGAGUUUAGACCGGUGUGAG
rnacentral:rRNA from 1 species